rnacentral:tRNA from 1 species
GAGGGUAUAGCUCAACUGGUAGAGUGCGUGCUUAGCAUGCAUGAGGUCCUGGGUUCAGUACCCAGUACUUCCA